UCAGGCCUAACACAUACAAGUCGAACGGUAACGCGGGGCAACCUGGCGACGAGUGGCGAACGGGUGAGUAAUGCAUCGGAACGUGCCUGGUAGUGGGGGAUAACUGCUCGAAAGAGCAGCUAAUACCGCAUACGACCUGAGGGUGAAAGGGGGGGAUCGCAAGACCUCUCGCUAUCAGAGCGGCCGAUGUCGGAUUAGCUAGUUGGUGGGGUAAAGGCCCACCAAGGCGACGAUCCGUAGCUGGUCUGAGAGGACGACCAGCCACACUGGGACUGAGACACGGCCCAGACUCCUACGGGAGGCAGCAGUGGGGAAUUUUGGACAAUGGACGCAAGUCUGAUCCAGUAGUGCCGCGUGCGGGAAGAAGGCCUUCGGGUUGUUUUAAAGGGUGUCAGGGAAGAAAUCUUCUGGGUUAAUACCUCGGGAGGA
rnacentral:rRNA from 1 species